rnacentral:rRNA from 1 species
UACGGAGGGGGCUAGCGUUGUUCGGAAUUACUGGGCGUAAAGCGCACGUAGGCGGCUUUGUAAGUUAGAGGUGAAAGCCCGGAGCUUAACUCCGGAACUGCCUUUAAGACUGCAUCGCUUGAAUCAUGGAGAGGUGAGUGGAAUUCCGAGUGUAGAGGUGAAAUUCGUAGAUAUUCGGAAGAACACCAGUGGCGAAGGCGACUCACUGGACAUGUAUUGACGCUGAGGUGCGAAAGCGUGGGGAGCAAACAGG